UACGUAGGGCGCAAGCGUUGUCCGGAAUUAUUGGGCGUAAAGAGCUCGUAGGCGGCUUGUCGCGUCGGAUGUGAAAGCUCGGGGCUUAACCCCGGGUCUGCAUUCGAUACGGGCAGGCUAGAGUGUGGUAGGGGAGAUCGGAAUUCCUGGUGUAGCGGUGAAAUGCGCAGAUAUCAGGAGGAACACCGGUGGCGAAGGCGGCCAUCUGGACCAUUUCUGACGCUGAGGCGCGAAAGCGUGGGGAGCAAACAGG
rnacentral:rRNA from 1 species